UGGGGAAUAUUGCACAAUGGGGGAAACCCUGAUGCAGCGACGCCUCGUGAACGAAGAAGGUAUUCGUAUCGUAAAGUUCUGUCCUAUGGGAAGAUAAUGACAGUACCAUAGAAGAAAGCUCCGGCUAAAUACGUGCCAGCAGCCGCGGUAAUACGUAUGGAGCGAGCGUUGUCCGGAAUUAUUUGGCGUAAAGGGUACGCAGGCGGUUUAAUAAGUCGAAUGUUAAAGAUCGGGGCUCAACCCCGCAAAGCAUUGGAAACUGAUAAACUGGAGUAGUGGAGAGGAAAGUGGAAGUCCUAGUGUAGUGGUGAAAUACGUAGAUAUUAGGAGGAAUACCAGUAGCGAAGGCGACUUUCUGGACACAAACUGACGCUGAGGUACGAAAGCGUGGGGAGCAAACAGG
rnacentral:rRNA from 1 species